GCGGACAGAUGAAUGAAUUUUUUUGCCUUAAACAUUUCUUGGUGCAUGGGGUGCAGGCAGGCCAUAACCCCGAACAAGCCAUCUGUCCCUGGCGGAAACAGGACUGGGCUGCUGCGACCCCCGAGAUGGUCUCCCUGCGACCACCCAGAACACACCGAGCCUGCACUGAACGAGACCGCAAUCGGGCAGAGACUUUGGGAUCUGGACUGUAAAUUAUUGUCCGUUUUUAGCACAACUUCUAUAAAACCUGCUUGGCAUGAGUGGCUAAAUUUGCUGAAGCCUUAGGCCGCACUCCCUAGUACAGUGAGAAAGGGCCCAGAGCUGCUGCAGGCGGGAAUGAUAAGGGCGUUACCAGCAAUUUGCAUUCCUGUGCACUGCUGAAACGGUGCUAAUUGCUGGAGUUACCACCUCUUUGUCAAGACCUUGAGAGAUGAUGGUGGGACCCGAGGAAGGAAGACACACCUAUAGGAAGGAAGACACACCUGUCUGCAGAAACUGCAACAGAAAAGAUAAGGGAGAAAAGAAACAGCCUGCCUAGGAACAACGAUGAGAUCCAAUAAGGAGCAGGAGACCCCAGACUCAAAAAUUACUAUUGGUCUGAACUACCACGUGGGGGGGUGGGAAACUUAAUUUGAAAAAGCUAUAAUUACCCAGGGAUCUCUUUGUUCAGGGUCCCUCUUUGGAGGUACCCAACUCGAGCUGUAACCACUGCACGCGUGUCAUUCCGAGCUAACCUAGGGUCGGACCCAACUCGAGUUGUAAUUACUGCACGCGCACCACCAAAACUUACACCCAGGGUGAAGAGGACCCACCUACCACCAGACGGGAGCCCCCCCCCACUGCCGAGACUCCCAAAGGAAGAGGACCAACAGGACGCCGCUGGAUCCACGGGGUGGUGGUCUGACCAAGAUGCACCUACUGCUCUGGACCAUCCAGAUUCAAGGAUGCAUCCAUGAGGGCAACGAACGACCACUCCCUCUACCUUCCCCCAACUCAUUUAAUCUCUUCGAGAACAACGAGUUCGUGUUGCUGGUGAAAGCAGUAAGCCAAACUUUCAAUUUAAGCCACUGCUGGGUUUGCGGAGGACCGCUAGGGUUAUCAAGCUGGCCGUGGAUGUCCACAUCCCUCACCCCAGACCAGAUCGUAAGCAAUUACAGCGAAACCGCGGAUGACACGUGGAACGACGGUGGGACCUGGCCAAUUCAGUUCCCAGCCAUGGGACAAUAUUGUUUAAAUUGUACCCAGGAGGGAGGGAUUGAAGUGGGGGAAAGUCAAUGGACAUUCACUUGUAAGCUACUCGAUAAAGACAGGAAUCUCCAGCUAUGGAUGUGGCUCGAUGAAACGGGGUGUCAUCAGGGACUUGAGGGAUACUGGUCAAACAAAAACAAAACUUUAACUCUCCAACGACCCAAUUAUCCCCCUUACAAGCAAACCUGCAAAUGGGAAGGCACUUCUGGGGCUUGGUAUUAUACCGGCCAAAUAGGUGAUGGGGCAACCACAUUUUUCAGCCCUCUGGGCGACAGAGACACAACUUACUUUCAAUUCCCACCAGGGAUAAACGGGCCAUUUGCUCAGGGCAUUGGAGCUAAGAAGGGGCAUUAUUGGAUCUGCAGACACACAGCAUAUACAUUUUUACCCGCGGGGUGGUCGGGAAUUUGUUAUACAGGGAUUAUCAGACCUUUGUUUUUCCUUUUACCAGAAACAGGCGGACCUUGGUUAGGCAUAAAAGUAUAUGAUAACCUCGGAGACAGAAGGGUUGCCCGUAAGACGCGAUCCAUUAAGGUAGAUUUGGGUGAGAUGCAAAAAUGGGGAAAUAAUGAGUGGCCUCCUGAACGAAUAGUUCAACAUUACGGGCCUGCAACCUGGAAUCCUAAUGAACUAAUAUCGGGGGCAAGAGAACCAAUUUACAACCUAAAAGUGGCUCUAGAAAUUAUUACCAACAAAACCGCUGAUGCAAAAGAUCUUUUAACUCUGCAGUCCCAACAGAUGCGCACGGCAAUCCUUCAGCACCGCAUGGUUUUAGACUAUCUGUUAGCUGAAGAGGGAGAGGUGUGUGGGAAAUUAAAUAUUUCCAACUGUUGUUUAGAAAUAGAUGAUGUAGGGGAGGUAGUUCUCCAGUUAACCAAAGAUAUCAGAAAAAUAGCCCAUGUCCCCGUCCAAACCUGGAACGGCUGGAGUGGCAAUUUGUGGUCCUGGUUACCGGGGGCACCGUGGGUGAAACAGUUAAUAUUGUAUUUGUUAGGUGCAGUUGCCGCUUUAAUGUUUUUACCUUGUACAAUUCCUUGCUUUGUUCAAUUAAUCCGACAUGCAAUUUGUUCCUACCACCUCACCCGACGGCAUAAAGAAAAUCCGUGCCAUCUAUCGGCCACAGCCAACCACAGUACCCAUCAUUUAAACCCAUUCCCAGUUUACCCUGAAGGAGGAAAUUGCAUAUUGACAUCCAUACCGCAUUUGCCAGCUGUUAUACCUGUUGUAACAAUCACUUACCUUCGUUAACUCA